AUAGCUGCAGUAUUUUGACUGUGCUAAGGUAGCAAAGUCAUUAGUUCCUUUAUUGGGAGCCGGAAUAAAUGAGUUGACGAUAUUUAGGUUUUUCUGGCGGGAAUGUGAAAAUUGAUAUUUGCAUCAAAAAGUGCAACUUGCUGGGGGGACGAGAAGACCCCGUAAAACUUUAUUUGCGGCAGGUUUCCUGGUUUAGAAUUCUGGGGGCGAAGCUACGAAUUGAACUGGGGCGGUAACUAAGUAAACAUUAGCAGGAAUAACACCUAUGUGUGAAGUGUUAGAUCCUGUUAGGAGAUAGGUUUAAGUUACUUUGGGGAUAACAGCACUAUUUUUUCCUACAGCUCGCAUGGAAGAAAGAGACUGUGACCUCGAUGUUGAAUUGGGGUGCCGAAUCUGAGCAGAAACAGAUUCAGGGGGUCUGUUCGACCUUUAAUUCCCCA
rnacentral:rRNA from 1 species